GAUUUUUGUAUUGUUGCUGGUUCACAUUUAAAUUAACAUGAUGAACCUAAACUACGCUGCGCCUUGGUCUACUCAUUUUGACGAGCGUUACAAUAUAUUGAUUACUUUAUUAAGCCUUUUCUACCAUCACUCCCAGCCUGUCUUCAAGACACCACAAAUGUGUUGAACAAAAUUAAGGAUUUGAACCACGACCGUAUCUUUAAACAUGUCAAAGGAUGUGCCAUAGGAGGUUGCUACAGCCUUUCCUACGCUGGUUUGUACUCCGAUUGGAAUGUCCACAGUGCAAGUUGUUCUAAAUUGGACGGACAACUAGACACCUUCAAGGCAGCUAGAGGAACACAAGUACGCCAUUCGGGUAGACGUUGAAGACUGCCCCAUGCAAGGCACUACAAGUCCUUACACCAUGGCGACCCUGCCUCCCUACAAGCUAUGGGUAAUGAUCAUGUUCCGGCCUUAAUUAGAAAAGGGGAUUGUCUUAAACAGCUAAACCAAAGGGAACGUUUUGGGGUUUACAAACUACAGGCCACUAAGUAUCCUGGUUUAAAUUAAGAUAUAGAUUUCUCACCUUUCCUGUAGAGUUGUGAGAGGUCCCUUUGCUGUCAUCUAGUGGACAUAUUGCUCUAUUGCCCUCAGCUAUGUUUAGACUGCUGUGGUUCAUGUUUGCUGUGAUCUAGUGUACUAUAAAAUGGAUGGCUCUAAUUAUUACCACUUUGCCCAGUCAAAUUCAAGGUUAGAACUACUUUUCUAGGGGUUCUGAUGCUUCUAGUCUUGAUUUGCAUUUUGAUAACAUAUCUACAAUAUUUCUCAUUUAAAUGUGUAUAAUAGUUGUUGUCUAAUGAAUUCUGUAACCACUCCCUCUUCAAAUCAGGGUUGACUGGAGAAAGCUGUUCGAAAGAGGAUAUUUUAUAUCUUUGUACUCCCUGAUAAAGGCCAUGCAGCCGAAACGCGUCAGGGUUUUUAAUCUUUGUUACCAUUGAACAUGCCAUACAAAUAAAGGCAGUUAAUUCAUUAUAUGAA